rnacentral:rRNA from 1 species
AAUGGGCGCAAGCCUGAUGCAGCCAUGCCGCGUGAAUGAUGAAGGCCUUAGGGUUGUAAAAUUCUUUCGCCAGGGAUGAUAAUGACAGUACCUGGUAAAGAAGCCCCGGCUAACUUCGUGCCAGCAGCCGCGGUAAUACGAAGGGGGCUAGCGUUGUUCGGAAUUACUGGGCGUAAAGCGCACGUAGGCGGACUUUUAAGUCAGAUGUGAAAUCCCGAGGCUCAACCUCGGAACUGCAUUUGAAACUGGGAGUCUAGAGAUCAGGAGAGGUUAGCGGAAUACCGAGUGUAGAGGUGAAAUUCGUAGAUAUUCGGUGGAACACCAGUGGCGAAGGCGGCUAACUGGACUGAUACUGACGCUGAGGUGCGAAAGUGUGGGGAGCAAACAGGAUU